rnacentral:rRNA from 1 species
AGCCCUGAAAAUGGAUGGCGCUGUAGCGGGCGACUUUUGCCCGGCCAUGGUCGCUCUGGGUGCGGUCAUGAGUAGGAGGGCGUGGGGGUUGUGCGGCAGGCCGUGGCGCGAGCCAGGCUGAAGCGGCCCCUAGUGCAGAUCUUGGUGGAAGUAGCAAGUAUUCAAGCGUGAACUUUGAAGACUGAAGUGGGGAAAGGUUCCAUGUGAACAGCAGUUGUACAUGGGUGAGUCGGUCCUAAGGCGUGCAGAGGGUGGUUUGUAGGCACCGCGGCGUCGAAAGGGAAGCAGGUUAAUAUGUCCUGCACAAGGGUAGGUGUGCUAAAAGGUGGCGACACGUGGAGUGUCUGGAGACGUCUGCGGGUACCCCGGGAAGAGUUGUCUUUUCUAUUUGACAGAGAGAGUGUUGUGCGGAGUCGAGUUGUUGGGCGAUGCAGAGCAUGUCUUUGGCAUAGCCUCGUCUGUAUGUGGCGAGGUCCGGUGUGUAUUCGACGGUCCGUGAAAAUCCAGGCGCUAGAAGUGAAGGUAAGGUCCUCCGUUGCCGUACUGAUAACCGCAACAGGUCUCCAAGGUGAAAAGCCUCUAGUUGAUAGAAGAAUGUAGAUAAGGGAA